UGCCUGAAAGACCUGGACGUAACUUCACAAGUGCACUUCUUCAUAAAAUGCCUUCUCAACAACCAGCGCACUUCACUGGGUAACUUUAUCCCAGUAUGCUAAGGCACCCCCGGUUCCAUCGGUGGCAGCCCCCGGACCCGAAGUCACCACCACCAACCGAAAUGCCAGCACUUCCCAAUGUUUCAUUUGAUGGCUGCUGCAUUCUGUAAGAACCGAAGCAGGGCUACCACUGACCGGAUGUCGCACCGUUCUCGGUAAACCCUAGACACUGUCAUGCGUGAAAAGCCCAGGAGGCCUGCUGUUUCUGAGAUGAUGGAAUUGGCGCGCCUGGUAUCCGGGAGCGU